rfam:Canis lupus familiaris chromosome 3, whole genome shotgun sequence.
CUGCUUGAUUCAGCAGCACAUAUAUUAAAAUUGGAAUGAUACAGAGAUUUGCAUGGCCCCAUGCAACCAUGACACACAAAUUUGUGAAGUGUUCCAUAUUUAA